rnacentral:rRNA from 1 species
GCAGCCACUCAUUCAAAGAGUGCGUAAUAGCUCACUGGUCGAGUGAUCCUGCGCCGAAGAUUUCCGGGGCUAAAACUUACUACCGAAGCUACGGCAUCAGUAAUGAUGGGUAGGGGAGCUUCCCAUACGGGUUGAAGCAUGACCGUAAGGACAUGGGGACAGUAUGGGAGUGAGAAUGUUGGCAUGAGUAGCGAGAUGUGGGUGAGAAUCCCACAGGCCGUAAACCCAAGGUUUCCAGGGGAAGGUUCGUCCGCCCUGGGUUAGUCGGGACCUAAGCUGAGGCCGAAAGGCGUAGGUGAUGGACAACAGGUUGAUAUUCCUGUACUACCGAUAACCGUUUGAGAGAUGGGAUGACACAGUAGGAUAAGCUAAGCACACUGUUGGUUAUGUGUGCCCAAGCAUUGAGGCAGUCAAAGUAG